ACACCUUGGGGAUUUUUAAUGUAGCUCGUUUGUUAGAAAUAUUUGUGAAUAACUGUAGUUUUCAUUAUAUUUUAUAUGUGACAGCAUUGGGAGUAACAGCAUAAUUUCAGUAAAUUAAACAGAAGAUCUUAAUAUUAGUGCCACCUUUUAUUUUUUUAGAUUCAUAGAAAAGAAGUAAAAUACCCGCACUCAGCUUCUUCCAUAUUAAAAAAAAUAUGUUGAAGACAUGAAGACAGUGUUAUAGAGAAAAGAAAAUCAAACUAAAUGUGGUAUCUAUAUGUAAUGUAUAUAUGAAAACUCGGUUAAAACAUUUCACAUUAAUGCUUUCAGCAUUGUCAGUGUUUGGAUCCAGAUCACUGCACCACAGAUGCCACCAUUAAACACAGGAGGUGAUCUGAAAUUCAGAUUAAAACAAAAAUGUCGCUCGCGCGCACACACACAUUAGCAGAUCUGUCAAACUGUGACCAAAUUUCCUGAAGCCUAAACAGGCAUUCUUUCCAACUGACAGAUUUAUCGAGCUCCUCAUCAAGUUUUCAUAAAACAUUCCAGCUUUGAGGUCGGACCACCUGCACAAACAGGCAAGUUCAGGCAGAAGCUUUAAGAUGUCAUUGGCUGAAAGUCUGUGACAGUUGGAGCACUGAUGGUGUAUCUGCUGCAGGCUCAAACAUGUGUGCUGCUCCUACUUCAACACACAACAGGUAUGUGCAAAGGCGUAGCAUGCGGUAUCACACUUCAGUGCAGCAAUUCACAAUACAGGGUAAAUAUUUCACAUCGAAAUGUCAAUAAACUCAAAGAAACAUGAACACUAACUGAGACGUGAGAAAUGACUAAAAACAGCUGUGAAGAAAUUCAUGAAGAAAACCAAGAAAAGAUACUAAAAAUAUACAAAAAGUCCAAAAACAACAGAGAAGAAAUGCAGACUCUGCGGCAUGUUUCUAAGUUUAUCUAAAAUGCCUGCAACAGUUUGGCCUGAACAUAGCUGGUGAGUCACCCGACCACAGAAAAACAUAUAAAUCUGAAAAAAAAACAUUAAGAAAGAGAUGCAAAGCCAGAACAACACGAUGCAAAUUCAACAAAAGGAGAUCGAAAAUGGCUAAACGGGCGAAAAUAUCCCAUAAGAGAAAAAUAAGAAAAGAAACAUGAAUAAGCAAGAAAACCACAAAAACACAACGAGACAAAGAGCAGCAAAAAAGAAGGACAAAGUGAACAACACUGUUAUCCCUUAUGCAGCAAGUUUGUCAGACAAACCCAGGAGAGUCUUCUCCAAGCACAACAUCACAGUGUACUUCAGAUCCAGCCACACACUCAGACUAAAAACUGGCUCAUUCCAAAGACAAAACUCCUAAACACAAACUUAACAAUGUGGUGUCUGCUGUACAGUGCAGCGAGGAAUGCCCAGACCUCUGAGGAAGAAGAACCUGGACCAGGAACUGCUGCUGGCCUUCUACAGCUCCUCAGUGAAGAGCGUGCUCCUCCUGCAUGGGUUUUGGUACUCAGGGGCCAUGACUGAGAACAGUAAGGCCGGGCAGAGGGUCAUUAACACCACCUAAAAACUCAAUGGCUGCCCUCUGCCACCCCUGAAGGCCAUCGCCAGAUCCUCCUGUCUCAGGUAAACCAGGGCCAUUGCAGGUGACCACCAGAAAAAAGCAUGUUGAAAAAAUCCAUCCAAGUUUCAUCUGUGUGACCAACAGUGAGCUCAAGAAAAGAAACCAAAGAAGGAGAAAAAGCCCAACAGUGAAGUCCAGGCUGUAUUCAUAUGUUAACAGUCUUCUGUAGUGUUUCAGCUGAUAGACCUCAGCAGCAGUAUAAAAUCUCCUCCAUAUUUAAACUUCUUCAGCUUUUUUACAUCUGCAAGCCCCUUUG
ensembl:lncRNA